rnacentral:lncRNA from 1 species
AUGAGGGUGACGGCUACACCGUACUCCAGGGCGGAGAUGGUGGUCCACUUCCCCAUGCCCUUCUGCCCCACACUGUCCCUGAUCUUUGGCAGCAAGCGUUUGCCAUCAGCAUCUUGGAACUUGAGAAUAUUGGCUGUGAUUUCAAUCAGGAAUGAGUCUAGCUCUGUCUUAUUCCAAUCCUCAAAGGCCUGGGCCAUCGUGUCCCACACCAUGCCCAGCACGUCUUUCAUCAGGUGGUAUGCCUCACAGAUCAGCAGCACGUCCCCGUACUCUAUCCCGUUGUGCACCAUCUUCACGAAGUGGCCUGCUGCCUCAUCUCCCACCCAGUCACAGCAGGGCUCUCCAGUUCCUACUUUUGCAGCAAUGCCUUGGCAGAUGGUCUUGAUGUGGGGCCACGCUUCUUCGUUCCCUCCUGGCAUGAGCGAUGGGCCAUACCGGGCCUCUUUCUCUCCACCACUGACUCCGCUCCCCACAAAUAAAAUUCCCUUGGCCUUGAGGUCUUGGCACCGUCUUGUGGUGUCCCUAUAUUCAGAAUCUCCUCCAUCAAUGAUGAUGUCACCAGUGUCCAACAAUGGUACCAGUUUUUUGAUGAAAUCAUCCCCAGCUUGCCCGGCCUUCACCAGGAGGAUGAUCUGCCAGGGCUUCUUCAGCUUGGAGACCAUCUCUUUCAGGGACUGGGCACCCACCACUUUGGUUCCCUUUGCUUCACUGGCCAAGAAAUCAUCCACUUUGGAGACAGUCGUAUUAAAAGCACAGACCACAAAACUGUGGUCAUUCAUGUUCAGAAUUAAGUUCUGGUCCAUGACUGCCAAUCAGAUCAGCAUGAUGUCAACUUGGGCCAUGGUGGUGGACAGAGCAGAAUUGAAGAGCGGCGAGGCACGGAGGACGAGUCUGAUCUUUAAAAUUGAUAAUAGGAAGUGCUGUGAAGUCAUUUUACCCAAAAAGAAGAACCCUAGGCCGAGUGUGGUGACUCAUGCCUGUAAUUCCAGCACGAUGGGAGGCUAA